rnacentral:rRNA from 1 species
AGGGAAUCUUCCGCAAUGGACGAAAGUCUGACGGAGCAACGCCGCGUGAGUGAAGAAGGCCUUCGGGUCGUAAAACUCUGUUGCCGGGGAAGAACAAGUGCCGUUCGAACAGGGCGGCGCCUUGACGGUACCCGGCCAGAAAGCCACGGCUAACUACGUGCCAGCAGCCGCGGUAAUACGUAGGUGGCAAGCGUUGUCCGGAAUUAUUGGGCGUAAAGCGCGCGCAGGCGGCUUCUUAAGUCUGAUGUGAAAUCUUGCGGCUCAACCGCAAGCGGUCAUUGGAAACUGGGAGGCUUGAGUGCAGAAGAGGAGAGUGGAAUUCCACGUGUAGCGGUGAAAUGCGUAGAGAUUAGGAAGAAUACCAGUGGCGAAGGCGACUUUCUGGACUGUAACUGACGCUGAGGCGCGAAAGCGUGGGGAGCAAAC